rnacentral:lncRNA from 1 species
GUGUGCGAUUCUUGUAAAUGGUACAACAUUUUAAAAUGCUGUUGCCCUCUAUACAAUAAUUAGAGUACUAUUCUUGUCCAUGGUAAUCUUUGAUGUUUAGUGGGUUAAGGCUUAAUAUAUCUAGAUACCAGGAACAGACACUAAAAUUUGUUGCUAAAUUAACAAGAAUUAAAUUCGAGAGAUGCAUAUGAUCUAACAUGAAGAAUAGCAUAUAUGUGGGUAUGCCAUUCAUAAGUUGUAAUUUGACUUGGGAAGGUUUGUAAAGGAUAUUAUAGUGUUGACUAAGAUGGAUCAUGCAUCAAAAGAAGGUUCUAGGUAAUGAUAUAUGCGUAGUCUGUGUUUGUUGUACUGUCCCGUACUGCCUAGUACAGGGCAUACUAUACCAUACUGAUCCUAUACUGAUACAUCAUACUGCUCUGUACUGAUAUUGUCUUAUUGUAGCAUACCGCAUAUCGAUAUUGUAAUAGGAUGGUAUCGGUAUAGGGUCUGGUACGAAGACAGUGAAUCUUGAUGUGUAGUGAUGUGUCCCAUGGGCAAAUUAUAUAUUGUUUUGGACUUAUCUUUUACACUUGCAUUGUAUCUAAGCUAUGUAUACCCUUUAGUGAAGUCAUGAAGGAGGUAGAAACUUGUUUCUUAGACAUGGGGUACCAGUGACCUGGCCUCAAUCCUCUCGAUUGCAACAGCUUAAUGGCCACAUGACAAUCAGAGUAAGGCAGGCUGAAGAGAUUGAACUCGUUGCCUCGUAGUGCUGUGCCUGGAUAUGCCCCUAUGCAAGCCAAUUGGGAUUAGACUGACAUGAUAAGGAACUGCAAUAUUAUUUUAAGAGAACUCAGUAGGCAAAAUUUGCGCAUUCUUUGGGAAUCUAAUCGAGUCUAAAAUCAGCUUGCAAGUUUUGAAAGGGAGCUUUUAAAUUUGAAGAAGACAGGAGAAAAUUUUGACUUAAGAGUGAUUGCUUGUCAUAAUUUUUUUGUUGAUACAUAGAUACAUACAUACAAAUUAUUGCUAUAUUUAUAAGGGCUGUAGCAGUGUGAACUGCAAUCACUAUGAUAGCAAUCAGCCUGUGAGAACUCAUUGGGCAGUUCCGUCAGGUACCACGUGAACGUUAUCUUCCCCAUUCUUCACGGUCUAUCGUGGCCAGGCAUGAAAACAUUGGUAAUGGUGGAAGGCUGAGGACAGAUAAUACGGGCAUUUACAGGUGCAAUUGCUAUGUAGAAGGCAGCGAUACACAUAACUUAGACAGAUUACAUAGGAGAGCAGUUAUUGUAGUAUAAUCAAAAAAAAAAAAGAAGAAAUACA